UCCUCCAGAGGCUGGGAGCACAGGCUGCAUUGUGCUCAGAAUUCUCUCUCUUUGAGGGAAAGACACUGCCUGGACCAACCAUGCCUGCGUCUCUCCCACCCCCAGUUAUCCCACAGCUUUGUUCCCACGUUACAGCUGUAAAGAGGAAGCAGUGAGCUAGACCAAAGGCAUUGCUGUCACUUAGUCACUUUGGCCAUAAACCUCCUCCUUCCAGACUUUUGUGGAAAGCUACCCUGCGAAGCCCAGGAGCACAGGAAAGCUGGCGGGAACAGAGAGCUUUGAGCAGAGUUUGCUGAAGUCAGGAGGGCUGUGAAGUCUGUGCUAAGAUGAUGGAUCCUGCACUAAUCUGCCUGGUAUCACUGCCUCCUGUACAGUGCUUUCACAGUGCAGACACAGAGCAGCUCCUGUGGUGGGCAUGGGAGCCAACCAUGCAAGAAAUGAAAAGCAAAGACUGUACAGUAUGUUACUGAAUACAAAUGCAGCACGGAUGUUAGCAACACAAAACUAAAUCAGUCUGGCAAGAGGAAAGCCAGCCCUGGACUUGCAUCAGCAGCGCUGGUCUGUGGGUUCCAAGUGUGGCAUCACUGCAGAGCCGGUUGGACGAGGCUCCCUGACCUCCUCUACUUGGCAGGCUUUCCUCUGCAUUUUUGGCUGAGAGACAAACUAAACUGCCCUCCCCAUCCCUCCAACUGGUCCCAGUACAUCCCGGUGCAGGUGUGCUGGCGGGCAAGGUGAGGAGAGAUUUCAUCACUCCAGCAUAUCCAGCACAUAGCUGCAAGCUUCUAGGAGGUCCUUAUAUGCUCAGCCAGAACACGUCACUGUGAGUACGUAGACAGAACGUCAGGACCAGGACUGAGUGCGUGGCACUGAGAAGAGAAAUCUCAUCUGUGCUGCGGAGCAGGAGCUCGGUUUUGGUUGUGAUUCUCUGUACCAGCUGGUCUGAGUAAUUACAUAACGUAUCGAGUCAAGACAUCCUGCUUUAUGAAACAAGUAAAUUCAUUUACAACCAUCUUUUAAAGAAGAUAUACACUGCAUGUCCUCCUUUAACUGCACUACUUUUAAGAGUGCAAUCAACAAGCUAUUAAUUAGCUGGCUAGAAUAACAGUCUCAGAGGAGACUGUGCCUGUUUUUCUUCUGCCCAGGACCUGCUCUGGUAUCAGGAGGUGAUGGGGUAGGUGCCUGCUGUGGCACAUGACCUUUCUCAAGGUGUGAACAGAGCUUGCGUGGUUGCCUCACACUCAUCACAGGAUCUGCAGGGUGAGCGCCUGGGAACACAUCGCUUUCCUGGUUGCAUCUCUGCUGUUUCUCCCCAUGCAGAUUGGGAAAUGUAUAUGGGACAGGCUCCACACAGGAGAACAGCAGGGCAUUGCUGUAGGUACUAACACUAGCAACAGGGAAAGCUGGCACUGUAUCACUGCUCUCUUCUUGGAUCCAAGACAAGGUCUCACUGUAAGGUACAAAGAAAUAAGGCCAACCACAGCUACUGUCAGCUCUGCUUCCCCACAAGCAGACAUGGUAUGUUAUGAAGACAAAACCCCAGGGAAGCAAGAACUCCACCAGAGAGGGAACAGGUGGAGGAAACGUGAAAUACAUCCCAGCAAAUCCAUUAUGGACAGUAUUAGCACUUCAUCUGCAACGCAUGACAUCGUAUCACUGUUCCAGCUGCUGAAUCUUUGAAGUGCCUUGUGAAACUUGUUCAGAACUCCGGAGGAGGAUUUAGCUGCUGAAGCUCCCCGACCUGUUUCAGCAGGGGGGCUGUGGGCAGUUGGCAAUUAUUGCCAGGACGAGGCUGAGGAGCUAAUGCUGGUGCUAGCAGGAAGGAGGCAGGCUGACAUCGUGGUUAGGACUCUGAGGAAGUAUUAGUAAAGAAUAGCCUGUUUGUCUUCUUCCUAUAAAAUACAAAGCAAGGAUGCAAAUCAGCAUGCACACACACCUGUGGGUGACUGACUUGCUGGGUUGUUACUGCCCUAUCCCUUGCACCUGCUUGCAUAGCUGUGACACCCAGAUUUGACUCUUGGGGAUUUCAUGUGCUGUGAAGACACAUCUUCUGUUGGGUGGUAUCCUUGAAAAUCCCCAUGCUAAACAGAGCAAGUGCAAAGAUAAUAAGCGGGUGGGGGCGGAAAUGAAGAGGUCAGUAAGAAGGGAAGGGAAAAGUUUUGGAUGCCAUUCAGGAUAAGAUGGGUGGAUAGAGAUGGAAUGGGAGUAUUUCAGAGGAACAAGCUGGGUCUAAUACAAGUAGAAGCCUGCCUCUUCUGGGUUUAGUUGGGCCAGGUGGGGAUCUAGCCCUACAGCGCAGUGGGCAGAGCAGCUAAGUCAAUCUCAGCUUCCACAAGCAUAUUGUGCCUCUACAUAGCAAUAUCUGAAAGAAAACAUUUAAGAAAAUUUCUACCAUCUAAAUAAAAUCUUCUCUGGCCUACUUUAAUUUGUAUAGUGGAUGUUUUUUAUUUAUCAUGUGACUUGAUGCUACAGCACUCACCCCACGUGGUUAUUGCCAGAGCAAUGGCAGCAGCACAUGCCACAUUUUCUGCCUUUAGAAAUACAAAGCCCUGUCUCACAGAAGCUCGGACAUGCCCUGGCUGAUGGGAACCGCAUCCUUUUGUGUGAUGAUUUAAAAAUAAUACAUGCAAUGCAGAGCAACAAGACGUGCUUUCCCCUGUUCCUGUGUCUUCCUGAGGGCACAGCCGGAUGUUUUUAGGCCAUGCUAGGGAUGGCCCAGGGAGAGAAGCCACAUGAGAAUGAGCAGGGAUGAGUUCGAUCACAGGACAUGAAUGGAGACAUGGCUAACAGAUAGCAGAUCUCACUGCAGAUAGCAGCAUCAAAUUAUUACUCUGUAUACAAUAGAGAUAGAGGUCUGCUGCAGAUUUCUGUGUCAUUGCGCCAGUGCUGAGUGAUUGUAUUGCCAUACACUAAAAAAAGAUGGCAAGAGGCUAUGCUGCUUUGAAACCUGACUCAAUGUUUUUAGAGCCUGACUGAAAACAGAAGAAAAAACGGAUGGUUGCCUGCAUCUGGAUCACAUAGCUUGGGUUACAGCAAACAGGACUCUUUUGUACUAGAGGAUGCUUGGGGAUGUCUGAGAUUCCAGACAUUGGUGACUUGUCAUUGAUAAGUGUCUGUAUCAGAGACUUCAUGUAUGGUCGUCAUAGACAAACAUUCUCAAUAUUCAGUGAGUUAUGCGGUUACACAGAAUUUGCUGCUUAACAAAAACUGCUUUGAGAAGUGUUGUGCUGUAGCAUGUUCCUUCUUGUUUUGUGGGCCUGGUGCAAGACAUGACCAGCCAUGGUCCCUCCUUGGGAUGGUCUUCCACAAUUUGCCAGAUUUGAGAGAACAGAAGGAUGAAGAUGCAUUUCUCCUGGCUCAGCUACACAAAUUCUUCUGUAUAUUCAAGUUGGAUAUUAGGAAUGAUUUCUUCUCAGAAGAAGUGGUGAGGCACUGGUGCAGACUGCCCAGGGACUUGGUGGAAUCACCAUCUCUGGAGGCGUUUAAGAACUGUGGAGAUGUGGGACAUGGUUUAGUGGGCAUGGUGAGGGUGGGAUAGUGGUUGGACUUGGUGAUCUUAGUAGUCUUUUUCAACCUUAAUGAUUCCAUGAUUCUGUGAUAUUUAACUGUUUAUCUUGUAAGAGGGCUACAGGAGGCUCAUCGGGGCCAUGCUGGCUUGUAACAAGCAAAGGAGCCACUGUCAUCUUGGACCUGGGUGACUCCUGGAGCCAUCUCUCCCCAUGAAGCUGAGCUAUGUCAUAUGGCUCUUGACUUUGUGAUGGCUGCUUGUUGGUUUGUAGCAGAACUGGCAAAGGUGGAUAGUGCUCAAAGCAGCUUCUGUACAAAGAGACAAGUCAGUCAGGUCCAGGAUGGAUCUCCAAGACCUGUCACACCAGAGAGCUGAGUGACAGAGGUCUGUCACAUCUUGCGGGGCACAGGAAUGGCAAUGAAGGAGAAUCAGGUGAAACUGUCAGAUAGCAGUUUUUAGAGCCAACAACAGAAGAUGCUAUUUUUCACAGAACUUGUCCUGCACACAGUGCCAAAUGAAAAAUCCGAGAGCUCUUAAAUAAAGAGAUACCAUCUUCGGUUCAGGAAAUAUCUGGUAUUUCUGGGGAAGUGUGACUACAGGCUUUCCUGAGGUUUAUAUCUUUCUUAAGCAUCUGCUACUGGCUGCUGACAGAGACAGGAUGCCCAGCUAUGGCCUUCGGUCUGUUUUUAAGAGAGACCAGACAGAUUGGCUGCCACUGUCCCUGACAGGUACAACACCCUGCUUCAAAAAUCACCGUCUUCCCAAAGCUCAUUUUCGGUUCCCUGAUUGUAUGGAAGCUUUUGAUGCAUAAUUCUGCUCAGUGGUGGUGAGGAAGACCUGUCCAUCCCAGAAACCUUCAUGUUGUUGGAGUGGGAUGGUUGUUUCUUGGGAAAGGCUUGCAGAGCCACAGGGUGCUCUGUUUCUGUGCAGUGUGGUUCUGAACCAUCUAGCCUGGCUCAUAACGUGUGAGGGAAGCAGUAUACUGCUGUGUUGCUUUAUAUGUUAACGCAGUUCUGGUGCCUUUAGGUAACUGCCUGUUUUGCUAAGCACUGCACAAAGGUUUCCAGGACAGUGCUUGGAAAUUUGUUAGAGUCCAGUAAAACCUGUAGGUUGCUCAAAAUGGCAACUUGGUGAUUGCAUCAUCCGUGCUCGAUAUUACCAACACAGAUUUCAAAAUGAGACUGGUGAAGAAAUUCAGAGAACUUCAAAUUGGUCAUCUUAGUUGCCCUCAAACCUUUUUGGCAUUACACUUGCAUUGUGCACAGGGAUGGGAGCAGGUGCAAGAGAAAGCAGUGUGCUGGGUUUUGUUGGUUCUGUACAUCAAACACGUCCAAGACGAGCAGCAUGUGUCUCAGCUGCUGGUGUCCAUGUCUGGCUCUACAGAAAUGCUGCUGGAUCAAGCUCCAGCCUGUAAUCACCCUUCAGAGCCUGCUCAAAAAAUAACCAGGUGCUUUGGGAAUGUCUGAAGUAAAGCCUCAUGCUGGAUGGGAAAUAUUAUUUCUUUUCUGUCCCAUGAUAUGUGUAUCAGAGGUGAGUCAGCCUUGCAGGAGCCAUAAAAGUGUAAGCAGUAGUUUUUUCAUUACAAACACUUUCCCCCGGGGAGCAAAAUUAAGGCCCUUGUUUGAAAGAACUGAGACCCUUCCUGAUGAUAUUUUGUUUUGAAUUGUGUUCCAGUCUCUCAAAGCUGCUGCUCAGGACUCUUUACUCCUUAAUGUUUCUAUUUUUUUUUUCCUUUUCCUGGAGUAGCAAUAGAACAAUGACUCAUUUCAUAGGUAAUCUAGAAAUAACUUCCCUUUUACAAGAAGACAAAUUGCAAGCAAGGAAGACACAAUCUCUUGGGAAGCUGUGUGCCCUUUGGUAUAAAUCCAAACUCUCCUCAGGCCAUCACAGAGUUGGAUUUGGAGGGGGCAGUUCAGUGCAUACAGAUACAAACUCAGCACCAUUAAUACAUCCCAACAACUCCAUCGUUUCCUCUGGGCUUCUGCCACUGUUCUUCACAGGCUCUAAAGACUCAGUCUACACCCUGGUGUGCCUCACCAACCCCUUGUGUUUGGGGACUCCUUAAACACUGGCUUAGAGGUGAGGGGAGCUGCUCUGCUGCCAACAGCAGCUCCCAUUGCUGCCUGAAGAGCAGCAGAACUGACAGACCACCACUGGUUUUAGACCAGCCCCUAGACAAGGUCCUGCACGUGUCAGUCUACCACUCACAAAGCUGCAGUGAUGUCAGUAUAGUGUGCAUGAGGGGUAUUAAGACAGGUGACAUGAUAACCCAUGAACCAAGGUCAGAUUCUGCUGUGUGUGACAUCUGCUAGCAGCUUUAACUGGCAGUGAAGCUUCAGGCCAAGUUGUUUAUAUCCGAUAGUCUGAAAAUGUAAAAUUUACUUUAUUUACAGUGAUUAGUUUUUUCUCACUAUUUUUU